AUAAAGCUGUCUGCAGAGAUUUGAAAAAUGGCAAUAAAUGAAAGUGUCAGCAUCUUUGGUUCAGCAUCCUUGACUGUGGAUUAUGCAGUUUUACCUUUAGCUGAGAAUCCUCUGCAAAAACCAUUGAAAAAUGCUUGGAACUAUAUGUUAGAUAAUUAUACAAAGUUCUAGAUUGCAAUAUGGGGAUCCCUGAUAGUUUAUGAGGCCCUUUAUUUCUUGCUCAGUUUACCUGGAUUUUUGUUUCAAUUUAUACUUUACAUGAAAAAGUAUAAAAUUCAGAAGGAUAAACCAGAAACAUGGGAAGUCCAAAGGAAAUGCUUUUAAGUACUUCCCUUUAAUCCUUUUGUAUCCAUCUUCCUUUGAUUUGUGGAACUUAUUUUAGAGUAUUUCAACAUUCGUUAGGAUUGGGAAAGAAUGCCAAGAUGGUAUAGGCUUUUGGCAAGAUGCCCUGGUUGUGCGAUGAUUAAAGGUACCUGGCACUAUUUCGUACAUAGACUCUUACACGACAAAAGAAUAUAUAAAUAUAUUCAUGAAAGUCAUCAUGAGUUUCAGGCUCCAUUUGGGAUGGAAGCUGAAUAUGCACAUCCCCUGGAAACUCUAAUUCUUGGAACUGGAUUUUUCAUUGGAAUUAUUCUUUUAUGUGAUCAUAUAGUUCUUUGGGCAUGGAUGGCCAUUCAUUUGCUAGGAACUAUUGAUGUCCACAGUGGUUAGGAUAUUCCUCUCAACCCUUUAAAUCUCAUGCCUUUUUAUGAUGGUUCCUGGCAUCGUGAUUUUCACCACAUGACCUUCAUUAGCAACUAUGCUUCAACAUUCACAUGGUGGGAUAGGAUUUUUGGAACAGACUCUCAAUUUAUUGCCUACACUAAAAAGAUGAAGAAGAUUGAGAAAAAGACUGAAUAA